AUUGAACGCUGGCGGCAUGCCUUACACAUGCAAGUCGAACGGUAACGCGGGGCAACCUGGCGACGAGUGGCGAACGGGUGAGUAAUGCAUCGGAACGUGCCCAGCAGUGGGGGAUAGCCCGGCGAAAGCCGGAUUAAUACCGCAUACGACCUACGGGUGAAGGCGGGGGACCGUAAGGCCUCGCGCUAUUGGAGCGGCCGAUGUCAGAUUAGGUUGUUGGUGGGGUAAGGGCCUACCAAGCCGACGAUCUGUAGCUGGUCUGAGAGGACGACCAGCCACACUGGGACUGGGGCAAGGCCCAGACUCCUAGGGGAGGCACGAGUGGGGAAUUGUGGAAAAUGGGGGCAACCCUGAUCCAGCCAUGCCGCGUGGGGGAGGAAGGCCUGCGGGUUGUAAACCGCUUUUGUCAGGGAAGAAACGCUCUGGGUUAAUACCUCGGGGUAAUGACGGUACCUGAAGAAUAAGCGCCGGCUAACUACGUGCCAGCCGCCGCCGUAAAAC
rnacentral:rRNA from 1 species